AUGGAGAUUGACUGCUUGGAGCUAGUUGAUCUAUGGAAAUCGUGCAACAACACCAGGUCAGUUGCAGCGCCUAUCUUGAAUGAAUUGGAGGAAAUCGGUGCUACCUUUGCUUCUCUUUCUGUUACCCAUGUCAGUAGGGAUGCCAAUGCUCUGGCGCAUCAGUGUGCCCAUUUAGCUAGUACACUUGAUGGCACCAAGAGUUGGCUUGAUGUAAGCCCCGAGUUUCUUGUUUCUUGCCUAUGGGCGGAUUGUAACACUAUGAUCAUACGUUAA
rnacentral:rRNA from 1 species